AGGAAGUCCCCUGCCAGGACAGAAAGGGUGGCGGCUUACAAUCAGACAUGCAGUCAGUCCUCAGGCAACACAGAGGAGUCUUUCCUUGGACCAGAAAGUAGGUCCUCACUUAAUGUUGUCUAUAGGUUCAGUGACUUUAAGUGAAGGAAACAACAGAUAAGAAAACAAUUUU